AUAGCGUAUAUUAAAGUUGUUGUUGUUAAAAAGCUCGUAGUUGGAUCUCAGUUCGAGUCAGACGGUCCUCUUGCCCGUGGUUACUGUUUGACUGAACACUUUAUCGCGUUGUCCUAUGGUGCUCUUCACCGAGUGUCAUAGGCGAUCGAUACGUUUACUUUGAAAAAAUUAGAGUGCUCAAAGCAGGCGUACGGCCCGAAUAAUGUUGCAUGGAAUAAUGGAAUAGGACCUCGGUUCUAUUUUGUUGGUCUUCGGAAUCUGAGGUAAUGAUUAAGAGGGACAGACGGGGGCAUUCAUAUUGCGACGCUAGAGGUGAAAUUCUUGGACCGUUGCAAGACGAA
rnacentral:rRNA from 1 species